GAUGUGAAAGCCCUGGGCUCAACCCAGGAAGUGCAUUGGAUACUGGGAGACUUGAAUACGGGAGAGGGUAGUGGAAUUCCUAGUGUAGGAGUGAAAUCCGUAGAUAUUAGGAGGAACACCGGUGGCGAAGGCGGCUACCUGGACCGAUAUUGACGCUGAGACGCGAAAGCGUGGGGAGCAAACAGGAUUAGAUACCCUGGUAGUCCACGCCGUAAACGAUGAGAACUAGGUGUUGCGGGUAA
rnacentral:rRNA from 1 species